rnacentral:rRNA from 1 species
AUUGCCUCAGUAACGGCGAGUGAAGCGGCAAGUGCUCAGAUUUGAAAUCUGGUAUGCUUUGCGUACCCGAGUUGUAAUCUGGAGAGAAGUCUUCGGCCCAGGCACCGGUCCAGAUUCCUUGGAACAGGAUGACAUAGAGGGUGAGAACCCCGUAUCCGGCUGGCCGCCAAAGCCAUGUGAAGCUUCUUCGACGAGUCGAGUUGUUUGGGAAUGCAGCUCUAAAUGGGUGGUAAAUUCCAUCUAAAGCUAAAUAUCUGCGAGAGACCGAUAGCGCACAAGUAGAGUGAUCGAAAGAUGAAAAGCACUUUGAAAAGAGAGUUAAAAAGUACGUGAAAUUGUUGAAAGGGAAGCGCUUGCCAUCAGAAUUGGUUCCGGCUGAUCAACAUUCCUUCUGGUUUGUGCACUCAGCCGGUUUCCAUGCCAGCACCAGUUAGAGCGACAGGAUAAAGGCGGCGGGAAUGUGGCUCUCUUCGGGGAGUGUUAUAGCCCGCUGUGUAAUGCUGCCAGCACUGACUGAGGACCGCGCCCUAGGCAAGGGUGCUGGCCUAAUGGUUGUAAGCGACCCGUCUUGAAACACGGACCAAGGAGUCUAACAUCUAUGCGAGUGUUUGGGUGAUUAAACCCAUGCGCGAAAUGAAAGUGAACGGAGGUGAGAGCCCGCAAGGGUGCAUCAUCGACCGAUCCUGAUGUCUUCGGAUGGAUUUGAGUAAGAGCAUAGCUGUUGGGACCCGAAAGAUGGUGAACUAUGCCUGAAUAGGGUGAAGCCAGAGGAAACUCUGGUGGAGGCUCGCAGCGGUUCUGACGUGCAAAUCGAUCGUCAAAUUUGGGUAUAGGGGCGAAAGACUAAUCGAACCAUCUAGUAGCUGGUUCCUGCCGAA